rnacentral:snoRNA from 1 species
GUGAUGAUGGGAUUCGACUGAGCGGUGAUAACGUCCUCGAUCGCUGA